rnacentral:lncRNA from 1 species
GGGAGGAGAGGGAAGGGGAAGAAGGAGCUCUCACUAGAGACUUCUGGCUCCUUAAGACAGGCUCUUGACCCCCCUGGGUGGCCCACUGCUCCUCCCAGAGCAGCUCAAAGAGGACCGGCUGUGAAGAGGGAUGGCACGGGAUUGGGAGCUUUCAAUGAGCUGGAGCGAGGGAAGCUAAUCUCAGAGCGCACCUCUUCCAGGAAGUCUGCCAAGAGGAGGAGUGUCAAUGAGUUUCCAUUAGUCUUCAUUCCGGUUUCAGGCGAGGCGCAUGGACAUCUUUGAUUAAGGGAUCCCAUUCCAGGUCCAAAGUUGGGAAGGAUAUGUGUCUUCUAACCUGGACCUUUUCAUGGAGGACAGGGCUUCUGAGACGGGGCCCAGACACAGCUGGAUGGAUGUGUCAGAUCUUCAAAUGUGGUUGAUGGUCCCUUUUAUCACCUGGGUAUGGCUGUCGCAUGCGUAUUGUGAUUUUCAC